rnacentral:lncRNA from 10 species
AUCUUUGGGUGUUUCUUGGUUCAUUGUGGCAUGGGUAUCUUGGAUUGCAAUCCCCCACCAAUCCCAGAUAAACUCCUUUGGAGAGCCUAUCUGUCUAUUGUUAUUUUAGGUUUUAGGACAUACACUAAAAAACUCGUUUACAGCACCAUUAUUCAUAGUAAAAAAGUGGAAACAACCCAAAUGUCCCACUGAUGAAUAAUACAUAAACAAAAUGUAGUUCAUUCAUAUAAUGGAAUACUAUUUCAUCACAUAAAGGAAUGAAGUACUGAUACACACCAUAAGGUGAAUAAACCUCAAAAACACGGUGCUAAGGGAAGAAAGCCAGUUACACUUUAAGCUGGUAACCUUUACAGCAUAUAAAUUACUUCUUAAUAAAGCGGUCUUAAAAAAAAAGAAACGGCUCAGUAACCACACAUACAUAUGAUAGAAGGGGAACGAGAGAACCCAGAUGAAAGGAAAGACAGGAAGAAACACAGUCUGCGAAAGAAAGAUGAAGAGUUCAUCUUGAGGAAAAUAUAAUCCAAGAAACACAGGAAAAGCCCCUGCGAAAACUCUGUACUAUAGAACACUUAAGCGUAUUUCUUCAUUCAGCGAAAGUACUGAGCCCCUAUGUGGCAUGCACCCUCCUGAGCCCUGGGGAUUUAGCACUAAGCUAAGUUCUUCCUUUCAUGAAGCAUGUCAUAUUCUUGUGCACAAAAAUAUAAGCACAAAGAGAUGAUUCCACUGAACCCCCGCCCCUCCCCAUCAAGCAGGGAACGUUGAUUUGUCCACACUGGAAUAGAUGCUUACUUUGAACACGGAUUCGCCUUCUCUAGCUUUAUUCACUGUUUCACACAAGAUUGCUUCUGAUCAAAGAAUUUAUUUCACAGUAAAAGAAAUGUGGCACCAAAAGUGAGUUCAUGCUGAGAAAGUGGAAAAUGGCCCUGAUAGUAGCCAGGCUGUGAUUUUAAUCACUAAAUAUAAAAAAUGCUCACAGAUUGCAAACAGUAUUCCUUUUUUCUCCCUAGUUUCUUAAGGUAGAUGCUUGGGUCACUAAUUUGAGACAUUUCUCCUUUUCUAAUAUAAGUAUUAUAAGUAAUGCUAUAAAUUUCCGUCUGAACUUUGAGAACAUUUCACAAAUUCUAUUAUGUAUAAUUUAAAAUAUUUUAUAAUUUCACUUUUGAAUUCCUUUUGGUCAAAAGAUUUAUAUUAUUAUUAUUGAGACAGGGUCUUGCUCUGUCACCCAAGCUGGAGUGCAGAGGCACGAUCUCAGUUCACUGCAAUCUCCACCUCCCAGGCUCAAGAGAUUCUCCCACCUUAGCCUCCCGGGUAGCUGGGACCACAGGUCUGCAUCACCAUGGUGGGCUAAUUUUUAAAUUUUUUUCUAGAGGUAGGGUCCCACUAUGUUGCCCAGGCUUGUCUUGAACCCUUGGGCUCAAGUGAGCCUCCUGCCUUGGCCUCCCAAACUGCUGGGAUUACAGGCAUAAGCCACUGCACCUGGCCCAAAAGAUAAUUUUUAAAUAAAGCAUUUAAAGAUAAUUGUUUAAAUGAGUUAUUGGUCUUAAAAAUGUCCUCAAAGACAUUUUCAAGAUAUAUUUUUGUACUUAGUUUGUAGCUGGUUUUCACUGUGGUAAGAGAAUAAAAUUUGUAUUAUUUUAGUUAUUUUAAAUUUGUUGAUUUGCUUUAUGGCUCACAUACGGUCUAUCAUGCUGAAUGUUACAUGUGCACUUGAAAAUAAUGUGUAUUCCACUGGUCCAGGUCAUGUGUUUUAUCAGUGACGAUUAGGUCAAUUUGCUUGAUAGUAUUUUUCAGCAUUUUUCUAUCUUUGCCAAUAUUCCGUGUUCUUAUUCUGUCAAUUACUGACAGAGAAAUGUUGCAGUCUCCAACUCUAAUGGUGGCUUUCUGUAUUUCUCUUUUCAGUUUUUUGUUUGUUUGUUUGUUUGUUUGAGAUGGAGUCUUGCUCUGUCGCCCAGGCUGGAGUGCAGUGCUGCGAUCUCGGCUCACUGCAACCUCCACCUCCCAGGCUCAAGCAAUUCUCCUGCCUCAGCCUCCUGAGUAGCUGGGAUUACAGGCAUGCACCACCACACCUGGCUAAUUUUUGUAUUUUUAGUAGAGACGGUGUUUUGCCAUGUUAGCCAGGCUGGUCUUGAACUCCUGGCCUCAAGUAAUCCACCUGCUUCGGCCUCCCAAAGUGCUGGGAUUACAGGCAUGAGUCCCCAUGCCUGGCCCAGACUGGACAUUUCUAUUGAUAUGCUUUUGAGUUCAUCGAUUUUUCGUUCCUCUAUCAUCUCUUGUCCACUACUGAGGCAGCCCAGUGAGUUUUUAAUUUCAAUUAUUAUAUUUUUUGUUACAUAAUUUCCCUUGGUACCUUUUUAUAUCUUCUAUUUAUUUUCUACUUUCUAUUUGUAUUAAGAGUGUUAGUAAUUGCUCAGUGAGGCAUUUUCAUGAUAGUUGCUUUAAAAUUCUUGUCAGGUAAUCCCAAUGUCUGAGUCUUCUCAACGCUGGCACCUUUUGAUCAUCUCUUCUCAAUCAAGUUGUGAAUGUCCUGGUUCUUGGUAUAUGGAUUUUUUAUUGUCUCCUGGACAUGUUGGAUAUUAUGUCAUAAGAACUAAUUGUUUUUUCUUUUAAAUUCUUCUUCUUUUUGGGUAUAGUCUGCAGGCCCAGGUGGGGCUUCAUGUUCAGCUCACUGUUGGACUUCAUUGACAUCACCCUGAAAAAGGUGGAUUUUUGAGGAGCGUGAGAAGAAGAGCAUGAGAAGUGCUGAAUUACACUGUGUUGUUGCAGAUGAGCGUCCCUAACCACAGCAGUCCUUGAAGAAGAAAGAUGGUCUGAUAGGAACUGCUUAUUCAGGAACACAUUGCAAAAUCUGUGGGUGUCCUUCGGGAUCUGAGGGCCUCACUCCUACAACUGCAAGGAAUUGAAUUCUUCUAACAGUGUGAUGAGGUUGGAAGAAGACUCCAAGAUCCAGAAAGGAACACAGUCCCACCAACACCUGUGUUGUAACCUGGUGACACCCUGAAACAGAGAAUCCAGCUAAGCGAUGCCCAAAAUAUUCAUCCACAACGUGUUGUUUUAAGCUUCCAAGUUUCUAGUAAUUUGUUAUAAAGCAAUAGAAAAGUAAUA